rnacentral:rRNA from 1 species
GAGUUUGAUCUUGGCUCAGAUUGAACGCUGGCGGCAGGCCUAACACAUGCAAGUCGAGCGGAUGACGGGAGCUUGCUCCUUGAUUCAGCGGCGGACGGGUGAGUAAUGCCUAGGAAUCUGCCUGGUAGUGGGGGACAACGUUUCGAAAGGAACGCUAAUACCGCAUACGUCCUACGGGAGAAAGCAGGGGACCUUCGGGCCUUGCGCUAUCAGAUGAGCCUAGGUCGGAUUAGCUAGCUGGUGGGGUAAGUGGCUCACCAAGGCGACGAUCCGUAACUGGUCUGAGAGGAUGAUCAGUCACACUGGAACUGAGACACGGUCCAGACUCCUACGGGAGGCAGCAGUGGGGAAUAUUGGACAAUGGGCGAAAGCCUGAUCCAGCCAUGCCGCGUGUGUGAAGAAGGUCUUCGGAUUGUAAAGGCACUUUAAGUU